GGAAAAUAAAAAAGAGGCACUUUUUGGCAUCUAAAUAAUCCUGCCACACACUGAAACCUGCCUGAAAGGGUGACAAGACUUUUUGUGAGCCUAUGUUCAUGCAUUAGACUUUUUCAUAAAAAAAAAAGCAAAACAACCAACUGUAUUUUGCAUUUGUGAGACUGGAAUUUGUGAGAACCACACAGAAUUCCGGGAACUAACAGUACAAUCUUAUGAAGAAUCAGUUAGGAGUAAAUUCAAGGUAAAGGAGAAGCUGAAAAUGAGCUGACAAUGUCGAUUUGGGGUGACCUCCACAACAUGUCACUGCCAAAGAAUCAGCAUUUAUAAAACCUUCGGUUCUUGGAGGAAUUACAUGCAGAACCCCCCAAAUUUAAAGCCUGCAUAAUCAGUAGUUGCUUAGGAAUUUCUUGGCAGCCGCAUGCCCAUCAGAACAAAGCUACAUCUGUGAACAACAAGCCUGAGGAACACGUUCUGCAAACCCCGAAAUUCUAUUUCCAGCCUCCAAUACAGACAUUUACAAGCAAUUCUGCCAGUAACCAGCAGUAAUUUUAGUGCAAAGUUUGUUUCCAAGCUCUUGAAAGCACCUACUCUGUGUAAAGCACUGGGAAUAGCAACUACCAUCUUUACCCUGUCUGCAGCAAUUACAUUUUUCCUCCCCUUGAAGCUCAAAAAAUCGAGGCACAGACUGGAUGAAAAAACUGCUGAGCUGCUGAAAUUGCCAGGAAAGCCCAGGGUGUGCUAUCCAGAAGAGGUGGAGUCUAUAACAAAUCCAGGUUCCUCACUGAUAUUCUCAGAGAUUGUGUGACUGUACAGAAUUCAGAGCCAUUCCACCUCCAGUCCCACAGCCACAACCCCUCUGUGUUUAUCUCCUGUCACUCCAUCCUUCUGUGCAGGAAACCAUGGGGUUUGCUGCAGGAGUGGCUUUAAAGCCAGCUGCAAACGUUUACAUCCCAAAAGGUAUCAGGUGUUCAUAAAAAAACCUGAUUUUGUUGUGGGUGCAGAGCUGGGAAACACAAACCUGGAAGUCAGGGCCUGGCUCAGCGUGAGCAGACUCAGCUCCCAAAGUGGAGGAUCUUAAACGUCCAAGGGGCAAGAUCCUGCUCAGAUUCCCUGCUCUGGGGCAGGUGGGUCUGGCACGGCCAGCAGGGAGGGACUUGGUGCUUUCUAGGGGCUCUCAGAGGGGUUUAUGGCCCUGCAGCCCUCCUGGGAAUGCAGCUCAGCUCCAGACACAGAGAACACCACUGGGAACCUGCAAAUAAACCUCUG
rnacentral:lncRNA from 1 species